CAGGUGAUAGCUUCGCACAACACAGGUGGUGUGCCACAAGGAAGCUCACAGCAACCAAAUUCAUCUGAAAUUGUGGAAUUGGAUACCUCGGAUAGCUCCACUGAAGUACAUUUAUGUGGCAUCCCUCCUCUUGAAAAACCCCAGCAAGUUGUCCAAGACCCAAGGGCCUCCCCUACCAGCUGUCAUUCAUUUACAGCGGCCUCAACCUCCCAGCUAUCACUGUCAUCUGUACACAAUAAAAACGAGUUAUUUGUGAUGUUCCCCAGGCAUUCUGCUGUUGUCUCAGGAUCCCCCACCAGGAUUGGCAUAUCCACCCAGCCGAAGAGAAGAAGCUCAGACCUUGUAGAGUGCCAUUAUUGCCCUAAAACUGUGCACCAGUUGGCGGUGAGGACCUGCCUUGUGUGCGGGGACUCCAUGUGUGCGGAGCAUCUUCGUCUCCAUGUCGAGUCACUCGUGUUCCAAAGUCACACACUGGUUCCCCCCACAGAGGAAGUUUCUGUUUGGAGAUGCCAGGAGAACCAGGAAAUCAACUGCAUCUACUCCCAGCAGUGCGUUACCUGCAUGUGCACAAUGUCCACCGCUGUCAGUUCCGACCGCAGCCAUCGCUGCAUCCGCAUCAGGGAGGCAGAGCAAGACCUCAGAGUAAGAUGAAAGAGGAGAUCAACCAACUGCAGAGGCUGGAACAAGAAACAAAAGACCGAGUGACUGAAUUCACUGAGAAAAAAGAAGCCUUCAGAGCGGUUUUGAGCAAGGUGCGCUCGGGGGUGUGUCAGCAGUAUGUGGCCAUCAGGGAGGCCCUGCAGCAGGAGGAGCAAUCAGUGCUCAAAUGUGUGCAACAGGAGGAGAGCAGAGUGAUGGGGAGCCUUGAGGAGAAACUGGGCCACCUGAACAACUCCCUGCAGUCAGUCCAGAAGGACCUUUACAUCAGGGACACAUUGAUCAAUGCGAAGGGAGAAAAUGUCAUUCAGGACCAAGCCUUUAUAAUGGAGUACAGCGAAGUCCCACAACUUGGCCUGAAGUCUUGUUUGGAACAGCUAGAGGCCCAAGAGGAAGUAAAUGAAGCUCAGAUGAAAUUUCUUAGGGCAUGGACAGAGAAGCGUCUGGCCACUGUUGUCAUCCCCGAUCUGGACCGAGACCUCCAUGCAGCACUCUAUGGAACUGUCCCCAUCUUGGAUGCAAAUACAGCCCAUCCCAAGCUGAGGCUGUCAGAUAACAACAGGAAGGUGGCCUACAAUGUGGUCGCGCAGUCCUUUGAUGAUCAAGACACUCGAUUCAACACCUCCCCGCAGGUGCUGGCCAAUCAAGGCUUUGAAGGAGGCCGUUGGUACUGGGAGGUGUACGUGCCUGAGGACGAAGGCACCUGGAAGGUGGGACUCUGCAAGUCGCAUAUGGACAGGAAAGGUCCAGGGAGCACCUCCUCUCUGGGCUACAAUGCAUCCUCCUGGUGCCUGGAAUUUCAUGGAGGGAAGCUGAAUGCAGUGCACAACCAGAUAGAAAACCCUGUGACUGUAGAAAGUCUGGAGCAGGUGGGAGUGUUCCUCGACUAUGACGGUGGAACGUUAACGUUCUUCAAUGUAACUCCAGGGAAGUGUCUUGCUCCUAUUUAUUACUACAAGCACUCGUUUAGCGGGCGUCUGUACCCUGCCUUGUCUGUGUCCAAAACUCACCUUGUCAUCAGGGAUAUAUUUGAGUCAUAAGUGGCGUUCAUAAUCUUUGCACUAUGAGUGAUCUAAUGUCGAGCCUCUAGGUUGUUUUUACAGAAUAGAGAAAAAUAGAUUUUUAUGCUUUAUGCCAAAUUUAAUUAUGUACAUACUGAGGAGCACAUUCUACUUCCACAUUUCUCAACUGACUCCCAAUUCCUGCUUUCCCACCAUUCCAAUUUCUGGCGACAAAGUUAGCAAAUUUUCAGAUUCCACCUUUUAACUGUUCACCUCACAGGACAUCAGAAUCAGAAUCUGCUUUAAUGGCCAAGUAUGUAACAACCAGACAUAUGAUUUUUCCGUUUAUAGAUAGAAUUCUAUCUUUUUAAAUUGCAUAGAUAAAAAAAAAUACUUUGGAUUUUUCUAUAAUAUUCCAACCGUAACCCGUGCCAUAAUCCACACUCGUUCAUUUUCCGAUCCGACUUUUGGAAGCGAGGCGUAAAAUAUGAUACGCGUCUGUUGAUUGGUUGAAUGUGGAACAGGCAAGUAAUGGGCCCAUUUGCAAGUGAACACAAUGGCAGUGCUCGAGAGUGGAAGAAAUUGAUAGAAAUGUCAAAAAUAAGUUUCAAUGGAACGAGAAAUUGUCAAUACCGUUGGAAAGAAGGAAGUUACCACUCUGUUAAGGGAUUUCAUUUGCAAAAUUGAUCGACCGGGUAAAGCAUUGUGCACGUGUUGUCAGGAUACCGUUGACUAUGCAUCAAGAGGUUUCAAGGCAUUGGAAGUUCACACGAAAUGACAAUGACAUGUUUACUUCCAUUACUCCCAGUAUUGAGACGCAAGAUCCACCGAAACAACCAACCCCAGUUGCAGACAGGGUCGUCAAUAACGAGUUCCAGGCUGUCAAGGAAAUCUGUGACAGAGUUCUUCUGAGUUCGUAUCCGAGAUGACAGAAAGCACAUUGUGGCAUUUGGUGCACGAUCCUUUGCUGCACUGAACAUGCUCAUAACCUGCUCAGCGUCGAUGUUGUGACAUCGAGCAGACUCUGUUUCCUUGCGCAACUGGUCAGUGACAUCAAUCACAAAAUACCUCUCAUACUGCUUCUGUAGAACAGCCCCAGCCUUGGAAAGACAGGCCCCCAUCAUGGUAACAAACACAGCCUGAUUCAAUGGACCUUCCUGCAGUUUCUGCACCAAGGGAUCAGAGGCCUCCAAUGCAUUGCCAAAGAAGUCGGUCUUUGUCGUGAGUGUAUCCAUGGGGGCAGCACAAAAUUUCCUGAGAACACUAACUACGUCCUUAACAAUCCCAAUGCCAUCGACAUGGCUAACUGGCGAGUUACUCUUUGUAUAGAAUAUAGCCAUCCAUGGCCAGACAGUAAUUUUCCAAUAAGUCCUGGAAUCUGAAGCUCAACCUGAGCACAGGGAUUGCUAUCAUCAGCACGCAGAUCAUCCUGGAGGCCACCACAAGAUACCACUCCUUCAAAUAAAUUUCUGAAAAAAAUCACAGUGGAAGUGUGCAGCUGUGCAGAAAUGUGGAACAAGAUAUAAAGUCAACUACCUCUGUAACAAGGAAUCAGUCCUCUUGGAAAAUGAGCUGCAUCCAGGUAUGACGUGAAACCUUUUGGAUAACCUUGCCCAUCUUUGUACCUGAAUUUGUUCACCGCUAGUACUAUCUGAUGGCUGAUAGAUUCUGUGCCCGAGUUUUUUUUACCUAAGUGCUCAGGUUCCAAACUUUUCAGUACCGACCUCAUUGAACUGGCAAAUGGAUGUAAAUGGCAAUUCAGCUCAUUCAGCUUUAUACGCCAUGAGCAUUCCAGAUGUCCAAUAGUGGCAUGAUUCACCACCGCUCGAUCUGUAAUUGUAUUAGAUAGACUAUUGAGAAUUUUUUCUCUUGUCUCUCUUUUUAAUAAAAUUUGCAAUACACAUCACUGAUCCGAUUGAAACUGUCCUCAAUAUGCAAAGAAUAGUCCUCAGCAGUCCCACCAGCUAACUAGUCAAUAGCAAUGUCCUGGCAUGCAUUAGCUGAAGUAACAUGCACAUUAUUAAUAUGAUCACCCUCCUGAAUAGUGGCAUCAAAGCCAGGUGUGAGGUUAUCAUGUGAAAGGCACAUUUCAGCAGCCUGGAAAUCUGAAAUUACACCAAGUUCUCUGGUCAUCAUUUCCACAGUGCUCCUAAUAGGUAGCAUAUCAAGUUGCAUUUCUGAUCUCUUAGCAAAUUUCUCAAUUAAAUUUGGAAUAUUUCUGGUUUGUACAUUCUUCACCACAGAAUCAUAGACAAGUUGUCUUAACGCCAAAGAAUAAGUUUUGCCUUCUUUAUUGAAGCAACUCCCUUUGUCACCACUGGCUUGAAGAGAUUCAACAGUUUCCUCCAAACCAAAUUUUUCAUUUUCUAAAUCCAUGAUGAUUGAAUUUUUCUUAGCAAGUUCAUCUUUCCACAACUGCACUGUCUGCAUCAGCACAGGAAGCACAAGAAGUAACACGAGAUUUAGAAUUUUUUUUUUUUAUAAACUUCUGUCUCUGCGUAGUGCAUUUUUGAGUUUGUUCUUAGUGUCCUUCAGUUGUUUUGCCAGAGAAGACUGAGACAACUCCAUUCAAUGGCGUUUGAUCUUCUGGUCCUUCUUGAUUAUGGAGACUUUUUUUGCGAUUGCUUUCCCGAGUUAAGUAUUUUUUCUCACGCAAAUCCUUGUACUCUGAACGUAACAUUUUUCAAGCGUUCUUUAUAUUUAACUUCCAUGGGUCUCUUAUUUUCAGAAACAAAUUCAACUUCCUUGGGGUAAAGGGUCCUUUAAGGCGGGAAGAUGAACAUAGUGAUGAUGAGCAUGAUGAUGAUGGAGCAUAUCUUGGUGUCUGGGUCUGUGUUUCUGGAGCUUGCACAGGGGUGAAAAAGAAUUGGAACAGUCUUAACAUUUUUAUAAUAAAUGACAAGGAUUCCACAUUACAUUUACAGUGACACAGAAAUUCAAGUCGACCUAUGUUUUAUUUAAAUUGUGUAUCACAAAAAGGACAUCUGAUCAGUAUCUGGGGAAAAGUUGCAGCUCAACCAAGCCUAAAAUUGAUAAAUUCCGUUUUAGCCAAUAAAGGCGACAAUGGUACCCUCAACUCUAGUAGGUUCCAAAGGAAUUCCUGAAGGAACAAAGUUAAAUACUUACCUCUAAAAAUAUGACUGCACUACUGACAUUUGCUUGCAUAAGUGUUUGCUCUUGCACUCCUUUGUCUGAAAUCACUGGCUCUGAAAAGUAGAAUUAAAAUAAAAUGUGAUCUCUUUUGUUAAAAAAAAAAAUGUACAGCACUGACAAUCUUGGCUCUUUACAGCCAUUUAAACUUUUGAUUUAACAGGAAACUGAUCUGAUCCAUGACCAUUUAUUAAGACAUUUGACUAGAGAGCUAGGAUGUAUCGUUAGAACCAUUAUGAACACCUGAAGUUAAACUAUUUAUUUAUUUAUUUAUUUAAGAAAAGAAAAAAAAAAAAGUACUCACUCUCUAGUGUAGUAAACUCUGUUUCCUUAUGUGGGGUACAUGUAGUGGGUCAAGGGAUUCCAACAGGAGUGAAGGGUUCCAAUCAUAAGCUUCUGUACUUCUGGAAGUCUGCAUCUCUUGAAAUAUUGUUAUACUUCUUGACCUGGUUCAGGAGUGAAUUCAGCUGACCAUAUGUAAAUGUGCAAGGCAGAUACAGGCGCUGCCGGCCAACUUUCUGCGACAAGGCCAGUCUUUUCUUGACAGAGGGCGGCAUAGUCAACCUGGAAAAAAAAAAUACAGGUUAAAUAACCCUUCUGAAAUUUGAAACUUAUCUGUAAUCUUGUUUCCAUGAAAAGGAAAAUAUGCAAAGGAAUCACUAAAAAACAAAUAACCAGACAAAAACAUGAAAUUUCAUAUGAUAAUAUAUAUUAUAUGAUAUAUUAGCUGGAAGACUACCCUACAAAAUCAUUGAUUGACUGUAUGUCAUAAUUGCCAUAGCUUGGAUUAUCAAGAAUGUUGCGGAUGACAAAACCACCAAUCUUGUACUUUGGAUAAUGAAGACUGUAGCGAAAUUUCCCAUCUGCGGUUGCACUUUGUGAUCGAUGCGCAUUCUCAUUGUAAUGCAUUGCAGCUAACAUUGUCCCAAGGUACAAAAACAUUUAACAUAUAA